CAAUAGCGUAUAUUAAAGCUGUUGCGGUUAAAAAGCUCGUAGUUGGAUUUCUGUCAAGUACAACUGGUCCGCCCUCCGGGUGAGCACAUAGUUUGGUCUUGGCAUCUUGCUGGGAAUUGUUGCUGCACUUGGCUGUGUGGCGCAGUGCCCAGCACUUUCACUUUGAGGAAAUUGGAGUGUUUCAAGCAGGCACAUGCCUUUGGACACAGUAGCAUGGAAUAAUUAGAUUGGGCUUUUGCUCCAAUUUGUCGGUUUCUGGAGCUGAGGUGAGAAUUAAUGGGGAUUGUUGGGGGCAUCCGAAUUUAGCCGUCAGAGGUGAAAUUCUUGGAUCUGCUAAAGACGGACAACUGUGAAAGCGUUUGCCCAGGAUGUUUUCAUUGA
rnacentral:rRNA from 1 species